AGUGUAGUGCAGUGAGAAAGGGGAGGGAGAGUCACUCAGUCAACAUGUAUACUCCUUGACUGAGCAGUGUUUGAGUGGGCACCAAGCUUAGACAUGUGUGUAGGGAGGCAAUUAUAACUAGUUACAGCCAUCCUGCCUCUUCUGUCCUCCUCUCUUCCCCAGCCUUAGCCCCCCAGCCUCAUGGGGCCCAGAGUCCUCCUUCAGAUGAGGCCAGUGUCCCAGGCAACUACCUGACGUGGGAAAAGCUGCCGUCCUAGAGAUCAGAAAGAACCCACCAGUCAGGAACAGCAAUUCUGAUGAUGUCAGCUUCUAAGUUUUCAGAAGCGACAGCCUCUGGUGUUCUUACAGCAUCAGAAGAGCAGAAAAGCUGGCCACUUAUGAACCCACACAUUGUUACAGAGCAUCUCGGCUUUCUGCCAAGGAGCACCACUCAGGCUUUAAAGAUUUGUCCUUUGAUUUUACUUUUUAGGGCAUCUUGAGACAAUGUUCUGCCUACACAAAAUUCUAAACUGAGAGGAGUGGCUCAGAAGCUCUACUAACAUGGAAUCACAUGUGAUUCAAGAGAGUGCCAAAGGAAACAACAGGACAGAAGGAGACAUGAGGAAGAGAUGGGACAGACAGCACUCAACCCUGAGCAGACGUGAGGGGCAAAAGAAAAGGCAACAUUAAGGACCCAUUCAAGUUUCAAGUCUCAGCGUCCCAGAGGAUGGUGAGGAUACAGCAAAAAUGGAGAGUGCAAAAGGAGAAAGGCAGUUGAAUGUGAAGAUAACGGGGUCUUCGGAGCCUACCUACUAAGUCUGGUGGGAUAACCCUGUUAAAUGGGAAGAGGGAGGCCUUUCUUGGUACAUUUUAGGAGGAAAAAAAUGGCUGCCUGGAAAGUUCAUAUACCAGCAGCAAAAAGAAAAGCAGAAUGGGAUGAGAGAUUAUGAAAGCCCUUCACGAGGAGGUUAAGUUCUGGCGGGUGUGCCCAUCAGAGACCAGCAGAGACAACUGGCUCUCCGGCCUGAGUUCGCCUACAUCAGAACUAGCACAUCUCUCUGUCUAAUUUCUAAUCACUGUAAAUAUGUUCAAAAUGAAAGAAAAAA
ensembl:lncRNA NEPRO-AS1 NEPRO antisense RNA 1